rnacentral:snoRNA from 1 species
GGCCGAUGACGAAGUGCUGACCCGAGCCAGACUCGGCACCUGGCGAUGACGAACCCUAUGAGUACUGCCAGGCC